rnacentral:lncRNA from 1 species
UUUUUUUUUUUUUUUUUUUUUUUUUUGAACCUUUAAAAUGUUCUUAACUCAGAUUUCAUCAUUUGCUUCCAAGCAAGCACUGGACAAAACUUUGUAUAUGAGGAUGUUCAUCACAAUAGACAAAACCUAGCUGCCCAUGAAUAAUAGGCAGCUCAGUUAAAUUGUUAGACCCAACUAAUGACAUGAGGUAGGUGUUGAAAGUUGUUUGUGAAGUUAUUAAAAACAUGGAGAAGAUUUGUCAUAGAACUCAAUGGAAUAUCCAUCAAGACAACAAGUGAAUGAACUGUUUAUUUGCUUAUUUGUUUAAAAUUUUAUAUUCAUAUUGGUUAUUUAUUCAUACACUUGAGUUAUUCUUAGCAACAGUAAAGAAUAAAUUUGCUGAUUCAUGCAGCAGCAUGGAUGAAUCUCAAAAACAUAGUGCUUGGAGAAAGGGGAACCCUCUUGCACUAUUGGUGGGAAUGAAAGCUGGUGCAGCCACUCUGGAAAACAGUGUGGUGGUUCCUCAAGAAGUUAAAAAUAGAGCUACCCUACGACCCAGCAAUUGUACUACUGGGUAUUUACCCCAAAGAUAUAGAUGUAGUGAAACAAUAGGACACUUGCACCCCAGUGUUCAUAGAAGCAGUGUCCAUAAUAGCCACACUGUGGAAGGAGCCACGAUGGCCUUCAACAGAUGAAUGGGUAAAGAAGAUGUAACAUAUAUAUAUUAUAUAUACACACACAAUGGAAUAUUACUUAGCCAUCAGAAAGGUCGAAUACCUACCAUUUACUUCAACAUGAAUGGAACUGGAGGGUAUCAUGCUGAGUGAAAUAAGUAAAUUGGAGAAGGACAAUUAUCAUAUGAUUUCAUUCAUAUGUGGAAUAUAAGAAAUAAUUAAAGGGAUUAUAAGGGAAAGGAAGGGAACUGAGUGAAGAAAAAUUAGAGAGGGAGACAAACCAUGAAAGACUCCUAACUCUGGGAAACAAACAAAGGGUUGAAGAAGGUGAGAUGGGUGGGGGGAUGAGGUAACUGAGUGACGGUUGCUAAGGAAGGCACUUGAUGGGAUGAGCACUGGUUGUUGUACUGUAUGUUGACAAAUUGAAUUUAAAUAAAAAAAUUUUUUCUUUUUUUUUCUUUCUUUCUUUUUUUUUCUUUUCUAAAUAAAAUAUUUUUUAAGAAAGGUAGUGCUGACUGAAAAGAUGGUAGGAAAGAAAACACACUGGAUGAUUCCAUUUAUGUGAAGCUCUAGAACUUCAGAAUUAAUAGAAAUGGAAAUGAACACAGUGGUUGCCUAUGAUGGAGAAAGGAGAAUACGACCCUCCCAAAGGGUUCGAGGGAACUUUCUAGAGUGCUAGAAAUACUCUACAUCUUGACUGGGGUAGAGAUUACAUAGGUGUAUACAUUUGUAACAUACACAUUUGUCAAAACCCAUCACCCUGCACAUCUAAGUUAGAUAUCUUAUUGUAUGUACAUUAUAGUCCAGUAAUGUUGAUAUAAAAUAAAAUUUAGGGGAUCCCUGGGUGGCGCAGCAGUUUGGCGCCUGCCUUUGGCCCAGGGUGUGAUCCUGGAGACCCGGGAUCGAGUCCCACGUCAGGCUCCCAGUGCAUGGAGCCUGCUUCUCCCUCUGCCUGUGUCUCUGCCUCUCUCUCUUUCUCUCUCUCUGUGUGACUAUCAUAAAUAAAUAAAAAUUAAAAAAAAAAAAAUAAAAUAAAAUAAAAUAAAAUUUAACCAAGGGACAAAAUUAGGGUACAAUUUGGAAAUACUGUAUUAAAGUAGAAAAAUGCCAGAAGGAAAUAUAUCAGUAUUAAUAGUACAAGGUUUUAUUUUGGGGUGAUGGAAAUGUUCUUGAACUAGAUAGGGGUGUCAGUUGCAAACGCUGGACAUGUGCAAAAUGCCACUGAAUUGUUCACUUUCAAAUGGUUAAUUUUAUGUCAUGUGAAUUUCCCUUUGAUUGAAAAAAAAUUAAUAGUGGGUAUCGCUAAGGGGAGGGGCGAUAGAUGGGGAACUUCUAGCUGCGUUUUAUCAUUCUCUCCCUUCCAUUCUGCUCUUUGAAUUUUCUGCAAUGAGCACAUAUGAGCUUUGUAAUCAGGAAAUGAUUAUACAACUGAUCAGGGACAUGUAAUAUUUCAGGGGGUGGAAGCAGAGUCUGCUUUCCUACGGAAUCCAGCUCCCAAAGGACACUUCAGGCAAGCGGAGGAAUUUGGUGAGUAUUUUCUGCUCUCUUGCAUCUUAUCUCUGAGCCCCAAUGCCCGUCCCAGCACUAGGGUGGCACCUUUCCCCUGCCCAUACAAUUGGUCCUUCAGUAUCACAAAGGCCCUCAGGGAAUUUUCUGAUAGUCUGUAAGGUGAAACGUACAUCAGACAUUUUCCAGAGAAAAAUGGAGACACGAUGGCCCCAACUCCCUGUCUGGAUGUUAAGGACCAGGCUACAUGAUGGCAGACCAACCUGUCCAAUCUGUGUGUGUCAUUGGAAGUUUAAGUAGAGUUGAGGCUAAUGGGGUGGGGGUUCCUGACUCCGAAUUAGGAAAUCAGGGACUGUGCCUUGUAGAGCCUUUCUAGGGAUACCCUUUCAUAAGGAGCUGGCAUGCCCAAGAUCUGGGCCCCAAUCUGGACUCAGUCCAAGCAGCCUUCAGUGGCAGCCAGCUCGGAGCAGAAACUCAGUGGGAAAGCAGGCACAACCAGCAGCUCAGAAUUCCUGAUUUCUUGAAAGCUUUGGGGUGGUUGGGGGACUAUUGUCUCAACAAGGAGCAGUAUAGUUUCAAUGAGCCUUGCCCUGAGGUAGAACACGACUUCCCACAAAGGAGACAUCAUGUGAGCUAUGGGAAGUCUUUAUAGAGGCAUCAGUCUUUUGUCAUCCAGAGAUAUUUAUCCUGAAGGCAAGGUCAUGUGGCAAAGAGAAGGGGAGGUUGGCAAAGAGUCAGGCGUAUUUGUCCUGGGAGAAGGUGGGUAUGGAGGACAGUGAGCUGCAAGGAGGCCCAGAGCACUGGCACAGUCCACAUUCCAGAACUGUCCAGAAUCAGCCAUUCGGAAGAAGCAGACAGAUGAGAAAUAUGGGACUUCCUUUGGCU